rnacentral:rRNA from 1 species
CAGCCGAGCGGUAGAGAUCUUUCGGGAUCUUGAGAGCGGCGUACGGGUGCGGAACACGUGUGCAACCUGCCUUUAUCUGGGGGAUAGCCUUUCGAAAGGAAGAUUAAUACCCCAUAAUAUAAGAAACGGCAUCGUUUUUUAUUGAAAACUCCGGUGGAUAGAGAUGGGCACGCGCAAGAUUAGAUAGUUGGUGAGGUAACGGCUCACCAAGUCUACGAUCUUUAGGGGGCCUGAGAGGGUGAUCCCCCACACUGGUACUGAGACACGGACCAGACUCCUACGGGAGGCAGCAGUGAGGAAUAUUGGACAAUGGGUGAGAGCCUGAUCCAGCCAUCCCGCGUGAAGGACGACUGCCCUAUGGGUUGUAAACUUCUUUUGUAUAGGGAUAAACCUACCCUCGUGAGGGUAGCUGAAGGUACUAUACGAAUAAGCACCGGCUAACUCCGUGCCAGCAGCCGCGGUAAUACGGAGGGUGCAAGCGUUAUCCGGAUUUAUUGGGUUUAAAGGGUCCGUAGGCGGAUUUGUAAGUCAGUGGUGAAAUCUCACAGCUUAACUGUGAAACUGCCAUUGAUACUGCAAGUCUUGAGUGUUGUUGAAGUAGCUGGAAUAAGUAGUGUAGCGGUGAAAUGCAUAGAUAUUACUUAGAACACCAAUUGCGAAGGCAGGUUACUAAGCAACAACUGACGCUGAUGGACGAAAGCGUGGGGAGCGAACAGGAUUAGAUACCCUGGUAGUCCACGCCGUAAACGAUGCUAACUCGUUUUUGGGUUUUCGGAUUCAGAGACUAAGCGAAAGUGAUAAGUUAGCCACCUGGGGAGUACGUUCGCAAGAAUGAAACUCAAAGGAAUUGACGGGGGCCCGCACAAGCGGUGGAUUAUGUGGUUUAAUUCGAUGAUACGCGAGGAACCUUACCAAGGCUUAAAUGGGAAAUGACAGGUUUAGAAAUAGACUUUUCUUCGGACAUUUUUCAAGGUGCUGCAUGGUUGUCGUCAGCUCGUGCCGUGAGGUGUUAGGUUAAGUCCUGCAACGAGCGCAACCCCUGUCACUAGUUGCCAUCAUUAAGUUGGGGACUCUAGUGAGACUGCCUACGCAAGUAGAGAGGAAGGUGGGGAUGACGUCAAAUCAUCACGGCCCUUACGCCUUGGGCCACACACGUAAUACAAUGGCCGGUACAGAGGGCAGCUACACUGCGAAGUGAUGCAAAUCUCGAAAGCCGGUCUCAGUUCGGAUUGGAGUCUGCAACUCGACUCUAUGAAGCUGGAAUCGCUAGUAAUCGCGCAUCAGCCAUGGCGCGGUGAAUACGUUCCCGGGCC